ensembl:lincRNA
CAAAAUCAUUGCUUAUUUUUGCCAGAAGAUUUGAUUUUGACUUUUCGAUAAUUCUACAGGCAAUGCAAUUUGUGGACAAGCCCAUGAAACCCAAAGGACCCUUCCACAUUUCUUGCCUCAUGACCACUUCCACGCAGCCGUGUCUCUGGUUCUCUGGCCAUCCUCCCACAACCUGGAGAGUUUCCACUUCGAAGCACGUCACUGCUGCAAACAUUGGAAUGCUUUCCCAUGGUUUACUAAACAAAGUGCAAAGCUGUCUGACAAUGCAGAUCACAGCAAAGAUCCAAGUGAUGCAUGCCCUUCGGCAGGAUCUUCCCCACCCUGGGUCUCAGUUUUAUCUUCUAGAAAAUACACGUUCAAGAGUGAGAUUUGCAGCUUCCUCCCUGCUCAGACCUCAUGAUUUUGACUCUGAAACCCAUUCAUAUAACUUCAUUAUUCUUGCUCCCAUGUGAGAAGGUAAGUCUAGUAUGAAUAUCAUUUUUGCCCAAACACUCCUGAGCAUUACAUAGACUUAAUUAACGUUUUGCUUCUUCAGAUGUUUUUUCUCAUGUGCAGGCUGUUUAUUAAAGGGCCACACAGCAUGUUACCUUCAAUCCUAAACAUUUCUGGGAGUCAGUUUCGUGCACUGCAGUUGAAGAUGAGAACUAUUGAAUGCUUACCCAGUGCCAGGCCUGUGUCUCCGCGCCUCUCGCCUGUCCCCGCUUAGCAUCCUAUGAGGUCGACACUGUGGUCACCCUCCCUUGGCCGGUGCAGAGCGGAGGGGAGGAGGUUAAUGACUUGGUUGGCCUGUCUGACUCGGAAGCGCUGUCUUGCUCACCUCCAGUGUGCUGGGACAGCACAGGAACCACCUCAGAGGUGCUCUGGAGAGAGUGACCAGCACCCACCCUUCCACGCUGCCAGGGGUUCUUCGAUGUGUCCAGUCUUCUCCUCCCAGCUGCGGGCCUCGAGCAUUUAUCUAAAUGUUUCGCCUCCUUCAGACCCUACCUUGCUUUCUCCUCUCCCACUGGGGGUGGGCUGGCCUCCUACCCCCUGAGAAAAUCAAGGACAGUGAGGAGGAGUGCUGUGGACUUCCCCUCUUUAUCUUCAUCAGCUGCACGGGCAGCUGUGCCUUCCUG